GCUGACACGUCCCGGUCAAUCUCCAGCAGACCCUCCCUCCCAGACCCUCCUACUUCCUGGACAGCAUCCAUGUUGAAACAUGUUGAAACAUGGAUGCUGUCCAGGAAGUAGGAGGGUCUGGGAGGGAGGGUCUGCUGGAGAUUGGCCGGGACGUGUCAG